UCCUGUACUUGGUGUUACUGCGAAGGGGGGACGGAGAAGGCUAUGUUGGCCGGGCGACGGUUGUCCCGGUUUAAGCGUGUAGGCUGGUUUUCCAGGCAAAUCCGGAAAAUCAAGGCUGAGGCGUGAUGACGAGGCACUACGGUGCUGAAGCAACAAAUGCCCUGCUUCCAGGAAAAGCCUCUAAGCAUCAGGUAACAUCAAAUCGUACCCCAAACCGACACAGGUGGUCAGGUAGAGAAUACCAAGGCGCUUGAGAGAACUCGGGUGAAGGAACUAGGCAAAAUGGUGCCGUAACUUCGGGAGAAGGCACGCUGAUAUGUAGGUGAGGUCCCUCGCGGAUGGAGCUGAAAUCAGUCGAAGAUACCAGCUGGCUGCAACUGUUUAUUAAAAACACAGCACUGUGCAAACACGAAAGUGGACGUAUACGGUGUGACGCCUGCCCGGUGCCGGAAGGUUAAUUGAUGGGGUUAGCGCAAGCGAAGCUCUUGAUCGAAGCCCCGGUAAACGGCGGCCGUAACGAUAACGGUCCUAAGGUAGCGAAAUUCCUUGUCGGGUAAGUUCCGACCUGCACGAAUGGCGUAAUGAUGGCCAGGCUGUCUCCACCCGAGACUCAGUGAAAUUGAACUCGCUGUGAAGAUGCAGUGUACCCGCGGCAAGACGGAAAGACCCCGUGAACCUUUACUAUAGCUUGACACUGAACAUUGAGCCUUGAUGUGUAGGAUAGGUGGGAGGCUUUGAAGUGUGGACGCCAGUCUGCAUGGAGCCGACCUUGAAAUACCACCCUUUAAUGUUUGAUGUUCUAACGUUGACCCGUAAUCCGGGUUGCGGACAGUGUCUGGUGGGUAGUUUGACUGGGGCGGUCUCCUCCUAAAGAGUAACGGAGGAGCACGAAGGUUGGCUAAUCCUGGUCGGACAUCAGGAGGUUAGUGCAAUGGCAUAAGCCAGCUUGACUGCGAGCGUGACGGCGCGAGCAGGUGCGAAAGCAGGUCAUAGUGAUCCGGUGGUUCUGAAUGGAAGGGCCAUCGCUCAACGGAUAAAAGGUACUCCGGGGAUAACAGGCUGAUACCGCCCAAGAGUUCAUAUCGACGGCGGUGUUUGGCACCUCGAUGUCGGCUCAUCACAUCCUGGGGCUGAAGUAGGUCCCAAGGGUAUGGCUGUUCGCCAUUUAAAGUGGUACGCGAGCUGGGUUUAGAACGUCGUGAGACAGUUCGGUCCCUAUCUGCCGUGGGCGCUGGAGAACUGAGGGGGGCUGCUCCUAGUACGAGAGGACCGGAGUGGACGCAUCACUGGUGUUCGGGUUGUCAUGCCAAUGGCACUGCCCGGUAGCUAAAUGCGGAAGAGAUAAGUGCUGAAAGCAUCUAAGCACGAAACUUGCCCCGAGAUGAGUUCUCCCUGACCCUUUAAGGGUCCUGAAGGAACGUUGAAGACGACGACGUUGAUAGGCCGGGUGUGUAAGC
rnacentral:rRNA from 1 species